GAUGAACGCUGGCGGCGUGCCUAAUACAUGCAAGUCGAGCGAACCACUUCGGUGGUGAGCGGCGAACGGGUGAGUAACACGUAGGUGAUCUGCCCAUCAGACGGGGACAACGAUUGGAAACGAUCGCUAAUACCGGAUAGGACGAAAGUUUAAAGGUGCUUCUGGCACCGCUGAUGGAUGAGCCUGCGGCGCAUUAGCUAGUUGGUAGGGUAAAGGCCUACCAAGGCGACGAUGCGUAGCCGACCUGAGAGGGUGAACGGCCACACUGGGACUGAGACACGGCCCAGACUCCUACGGGAGGCAGCAGUAGGGAAUCUUCGGCAAUGGGCGAAAGCCUGACCGAGCAACGCCGCGUGAGUGAAGAAGGUUUUCGGAUCGUAAAGCUCUGUUGUUUGAGACGAAUGUGCCUGUUUCGAAUAGGGAUAGGUAAUGACGGUAUUAAACGAGAAAGCCACGGCUAACUACGUGCCAGCCGCCGCCGUAAGAC
rnacentral:rRNA from 1 species